AGCCGGUACAAAAGCCGUAGUCCGCCCUCCGGUUCUUCCUCUUCCGCGUCGUCACCUGUGUCACUUCCGGGUCGGAGGUCGCGUCCCUAACAGUUGCUGUAGGCCGGUGGUGCUGGUGACCUGGUGUUGGCAUCCUCCCCUCUUGCUGUGUCCCUGGGAGUGGGUUUUCUUCACUGAUGGUGUCUGCCACAUGUGCCCGGUGAUUUUUCUUUUGAUCGUUCCCCUGCACUAGCUUUCGUCCACUUUGGCCUCAGCCCUGAUUAGGUUCUUCCUAUUUUUGAAUGAAUAUUUAAUAAAAGGUGUAUUUUAACUUGGAA